CAUAAAUGUAAGUUUAUGCUAGACUUGAGACUGGUAGAGCGUAAGUUUUAGUUUGCGGUCACUAUGAGCAUCAUUUCAAAAAUACGGAUACUUUUGUUCGCAGCUACUGGUGUAUGUAUCACUAUGACAUUUUGUUGGAGUGGUCAGCAACUUAUAAAUGUGACGGACGAAAUUUUUUGGGUUUUGGCUAGAGCUCCUUUUUAUUUUUGGAAUCGGGAAAAUUCUGUAAUACUUUUGACGUUGUUAACGAAUUGUACUAACAAUGACAGCGUUGUUUUGGCCGGAAUUUGUCUAGAUUACAAACUAUUUCUGUCGGUGCGAACACUUUGACUUGUAUUUUUUUAGUCUAAUUUUGUUUACAGGUGGUAAAGCUUGCCGUAUCUUAUUCUCUAGUUUUGUUCAAACUUCGCAAAAGUAGUCUAGUUUAAAACACCAGAAAUAAAGCACCUGAAGUUU